GACGAACGCUGGCGGCGUGCUUAACACAUGCAAGUCGAACGAAGAGCGAUGGAAGCUUGCUUCUAUCAAUCUUAGUGGCGAACGGGUGAGUAACGCGUAAUCAACCUGCCCUUCAGAGGGGGACAACAGUUGGAAACGACUGCUACUACCGCAUACGAUCUAAUCUCGGCAUCGAGGAUAGAUGAAAGGUGGCCUCUACAUGUAAGCUAUCACUGAAGGAGGGGAUUGCGUCUGUUGAGUACGUUGGCGGGGUAGCGGCCCAGCUAGGCGAGGAUCAGGAGCCGGACGGAGAGGAUGAGCGGCCGCAUUGGGAGUGAGACACGGCCCAGACGGCUACGGGAGGCAGCAGUGGUGAAUCGUGAGGAAUGGACGAAAGUCUGACGGAGCUACGCCGCGUGAGUGAUGGCGGCCUUCGGGUUGUAAAGCUCUGUUAAUCGGGACGAAAGGCCUUCUUGCGAAUAGUGAGAAGGAUUGACGGUACCGGAAUAGAAAGCCACGGCUAACUACGUG
rnacentral:rRNA from 1 species